AGAUUUUGCCUACCCCCCCAUUGUCAGAUGUCCCGAGCGCGUCCCCGAAGUCGGAAUCGGCAAAGGUGAGCCGGGACAGCCUUCUUCCUCCGCCCAGCCACCACAGUGAUUUGUCGUCAAGUCUGCCACAGGAGGAUAUUUUGUUCUGGGUUAACCUGCUUUUCUACCUCGCAGGUUGUUUAUCAAUAUUGAGUAAUUUUAAUUACUCCUAGAAUUUCCGCAUGUGUUAGCAGUAAUUAUUUGAAUUUGGUCUGUAAUAUUAUUAUUAUGUUGGACCUGUAAACUUAAAUAUGUUAUGCAUGUUGAUGGAUUGGAUGAGGGAGCUGAGCUCCCAUUUAUUUUA